GACAUGCAUCGUACACUGUGCACGGGCUGUUUGUGCAGCAAGCGUGCGUGGAUAGGCCCUGUGCGCCUAGGGCCUACGCGCGCAGCACCCAACUUGCCUAGCCCCUACGCGCGUGUAGGAGGCUUGUGUACCUGUAGGCUUGCCUGCAACGUGCCAACCGGAGUGCUACCACCUCGGACAGUGCGCCACUCCUGCCUUGGGUGACGCACUGUCGCCAUCAGAGGAGGCCCUUCUUUCUCAUUUUUUGUAUCGAGCAUCUUUUUCUCCUCUCUCUUUAUUGGAUUUUGCUACUUGGUGUGAAUCCAACGGUUAUGAAAUUUUAUAAAUUGCCUUCCCCCUUCCUUUCAUCUCCACAUUUUUAUUCUUUUAUUUUUCAAAGGUUUAGAGAGAGAGAGAGAAAAAUAAUAGUCUAGUGAGGGAAUAAGAGAAAGAAAGGAGACCGGUGAGGGAGAAAACAUCAAGGUUUUGGUAAAGAAUCUAGUAUUUCUUUUGAUGUCGUAAAGAGUAUUUUUAGAUAAACUAAUUUAAUAUGAUU
rnacentral:lncRNA from 1 species